GCAGUAGAAAGGUGAUCAAUCUUCAUCAGGCUACAUUUCCAAUCACCUAAACAACCGAGCGAGACAAGCCACUCCGACAAGGUUGGCUGCCCGGAGGGUCUUGCUGAGGGCGCGAGGUAGAUGGUGAGCAGCCCCGGCAGCGGAGGGCAGGCCAGGCCCCCAGAAGCAACAGCUUGAAGGACUUCGAAGUGGGAGCCCUGAAUUGCUCCUGGCCUCGGGCCCCC